rnacentral:tRNA from 1 species
CGACGUAGCUUAGCUGGUAGAGCAACGCACUCGUAACGCGUAGGUCGUAGGUUCAAAUCCUAUUGUCGGC